rnacentral:lncRNA from 1 species
AUGGGGUUUACUGCAAACUAUAACUUUAAUGCCUCCAAACCACUCGGUUAUUUUAGAAGGAUUAUUAAUAUCUGGGGCAUGCUUGCCAUCCACUGCGCACCAGCAGUUUGCCCCCGCCACCAUCUCUGGUGGCAGCGCUGGCUCUUGGUGCGAGCUGCCGGGCAGGGAUGCGGGAAAUCCCAGCCUUGCAGACAGGGAAGGCAACCGGGGAGGGGAGAGAUCCCCCCCGGUACCUGCCUAUGGGUGGAAAAAACUCCAGGAGAGCUCUGCAUCCUUCUGCUUGACCUUUUUUUUGUGUGUGUGAGGGGAGGUUUGCAUGGUCAAAAAUCUUUUCCAGGGGUUCAACUCUUUGCGUUAAAAAAUGCACUUUCUUAUCUCAAGUGCUUUCGUCCAAAGGCUUGGUUUUUUUUGCUUGAAAGUCAGGCACAGGAGGGCUGCUGGGAGCUGGGAGCCAGCACAGGCAGCCUGGGGUGCCAGGACACCUGGGCUCCCUCUGCGGAUGGCUUGGGUGGGUCAAGGAGCUGCUCUGUGCCUCAGUUUACCCAUUGGCUGCAAAAAAGCCCUGUCCACCCCCAGGGAUCCCCCAUCCAGGGAAGUGGGCUGCCGGCUGUUUGUGCUUCGCCAAUGCAAGAAACUUUUGCCUCCAUCUGCAGGCGCGGAAAGGCUCYGGCUCGCCCGUGCCACCAGUGUCCCCACACCUUUUUGCCCCUAGCGCAGGAAAAGAGGCGGCAGAUACCGGCUGUGCCGAGGGCUGGGCAGACCCAGGCGUGCGGCGGCCGUAAAUCAGUGCCAGCACUCGGCCGGCGAGUGGGGGGGCUGCAGAGGCAAACCGUCCGCCUGGGGUGGUCGGGGACCAGGGCAAGGGGAAUCGCUAAUGAAAUAAAUAGAGAAAAACACCAAAAAAGCCAGGUUUUAACUAUUGGCUGUGUAAGUUCAAAGGUGCGUUUGGGCCCGAGGGCUGGCAGAGGCACCUGUGGCUUGCACCACUCCUCCGGGGCAGCGGGAGCCAGCGGCCGUGUUUCCUGGCCCCAUCUCUCGCUGGAGCAAUGGCCCACAGCUGGGCAAAGAAGGGCUAAACUUAGUUGCCCCAAAAAAUUUACGUUCAUAUAA